rnacentral:rRNA from 1 species
UACAGAGGUCUCGAGCGUUGUUCGGAUUCAUUGGGCGUAAAGGGCGCGUAGGCGGUCAGCACAAGUCAGUUGUGAAAUCUCCGGGCUUAACUCGGAAAGGUCAACUGAUACUGUGCGACUAGAGUGCGGAAGGGGCAACUGGAAUUCUCGGUGUAGCGGUGAAAUGCGUAGAUAUCGAGAGGAACACCUGCGGCGAAGGCGGGUUGCUGGGCCGACACUGACGCUGAUGCGCGAAAGCCAGGGGAGCGAACGGG